GCAUCGAUAGCUCAGUGGCAGAGCGGUGGGGCGUUUACCCAUGCGGCCCGGGUUCGAUCCCCGUCGAUGCA